AGAAUGAACGCUGGCGGCAUGCCUAACACAUGCAAGUCGAACGAGACCUUCGGGUCUAGUGGCGCACGGGUGCGUAACGCGUGGGAAUCUGCCCUUGGGUUCGGAAUAACAGUGGGAAACUACUGCUAAUACCGGAUAAUGACGUAAGUCCAAAGAUUUAUCGCCCAGGGAUGAGCCCGCGUAAGAUUAGCUAGUUGGUGGGGUAAAGGCCUACCAAGGCGACGAUCUUUAGCUGGUCUGAGAGGAUGAUCAGCCACACUGGGACUGAGACACGGCCCAGACUCCUACGGGAGGCAGCAGUGGGAAUAUUGGACAAUGGGCGAAAGCCUGAUCCAGCAAUGCCGCGUGAGUGAUGAAGGCCUUAGGGUUGUAAAGCUCGUUUUACCCGGGAAGAUAAUGACUGUACCGGAGAAUAACGCCCGGCUAACUCCGCGUCAGCAGCCGC
rnacentral:rRNA from 1 species